AAGAAAGCUGCUGAAGUGCCAGAAAUGUGUACAUGCUCCAUGGGUGUGCUCAGGUGAUGCAGACCAGCAAGUCAUGGCUCUCUUGUACAACCCCAUUACUCAGGUUACUCCUGAAGAUCUGGAUUCAGCUGCCCUGCCCUGAUUUCAGUUUUCAGUUCUGACAUGGGAUGGCUUCUUUUACAGCUCCCUGUGAACAGUCAGAGACCAUUGAACUAAGAAUUCACUGAAGCCUGAAAAAGAAGACUAAAAAUGAUUCUCCAAGAAUUUUCAGAGGGAAAAUGAAGUUCUGGCUAUUGGAACA